GUCUAUGGCCAUGCCACACUGAACAAGCCCGAUCCCGUCUGAUCUUGGAAGCUAAGGAGGGUCGGGCCUGGUUAGUACUUGGACAGGAGACCACCUAGGAAGACCAGGUACUGUAGCCG
rnacentral:rRNA from 1 species